rnacentral:tRNA from 1 species
CGCAUACAUUGGGUACAGCAUCGCGGCCCGCGCGGGUUUCUGGCCCGCGCUCGCACUCGCGCCGGUCGCGGUCGGCCUGCUCGGCGCCGGCUGCGAGCGU